rnacentral:rRNA from 1 species
GACGGAGGGUGCAAGCGUUGCUCGGAAUCACUGGGCGUAAAGCGUGCGUAGGCGGCUUGGUGGGUCUGGUGUGAAAGCCCCGGGCUCAGCCCGGGAAGGGCACUAGAAACUGCCGAGCUGGAGUGCCGGAGGGGAGAGUGGAAUUCCUGGUGUAGCGGUGAAAUGCGUAGAUAUCAGGAGGAAUACCGGUGGCGAAAGCGUUCUGCUAGACCUGUACUGACACUGAGGGACGAAAGCUAGGGGAGCGAAUGGG